rnacentral:rRNA from 2 species
GACGAACUGCCCAAACGUUGUUCGGAAUCACUGGGCUUAAAGGGCGCGUAGGCGGCGAAUCAAGUCAGGGGUGAAAUCCGGCAGCUCAACUGUCGAAGUGCCUUUGAUACUGAUUUGCUCGAGGGAGGUAGGGGUCUGUGGAACUUCUGGUGGAGCGGUGAAAUGCGUUGAUAUCAGAAGGAACGCCGGUGGCGAAAGCGACGGACUGGACCUUUUCUGACGCUGAGGCGCGAAAGCUAGGGGAGCAAACGGG